AGUGAACGCUGGCGGUAGGCCUAACACAUGCAAGUCGAACGGCAGCACAGUAAGAGCUUGCUCUUACGGGUGGCGAGUGGCGGACGGGUGAGGAAUACAUCGGAAUCUACUUUUUCGUGGGGGAUAACGUAGGGAAACUUACGCUAAUACCGCAUACGACCUACGGGUGAAAGCAGGGGAUCUUCGGACCUUGCGCGAUUGAAUGAGCCGAUGUCGGAUUAGCUAGUUGGCGGGGUAAAGGCCCACCAAGGCGACGAUCCGUAGCUGGUCUGAGAGGAUGAUCAGCCACACUGGAACUGAGACACGGUCCAGACUCCUACGGGAGGCAGCAGUGGGGAAUAUUGGACAAUGGGCGCAAGCCUGAUCCAGCCAUACCGCGUGGGUGAAGAAGGCCUUCGUGUUGUAAAACCCUUUUGUUGGGAAAGAAAAGCAGCAGGUUAAUACCCCGCUGUUCUGACGGUACCCAAAGAAUAAGCACCGGCUAACUUCGUG
rnacentral:rRNA from 1 species